GACUUGACAUCCCCUGACAGCUGUUGAAAGGCAGUGUCUCUUCGGAGCAGGGAGACAGGUGGUGCAUGGUUGUCGUCAGCUCGUGUCGUGAGAUGUUGGGUUAAGUCCCGCAACGAGCGCAACCCUUAUCCUUAGUUACCAGCACGUAAAGGUGGGGACUCUAGGGAGACCGCCGGGGACGACUCGGAGGAAGGUGGGGACGACGUCAAAUCAUCAUGCCCCUUAUGUCUUGGGCUACACACGUGCUACAAUGGCCGCAACAGAGGGAAGCGAGAGCGCAAGCUGGAGCAAAACCCUAAAAAGCGGUCCCAGUUCGGAUUGUGGGCUGCAACCCGCCCACAUGAAGUCGGAGUUGCUAGUAAUCGCGAAUCAGCAUGUCGCGGUGAAUGCGUUCCCGGGCCUU
rnacentral:rRNA from 1 species